GAAACACCAAGCUAAUUAGGCGUCUGAGCGAACCAGCUCAGCUGCACAGAGGAAGGUAAAGUUGCAGGACAGAGACAAAGCAAAGGACCAAAAUGGACUCUCAGCACAUUGGCAGGAUCGGAGCUCGACAUCUUUCUCAGAUUCAGGAAGAGUCGGACAGCAGAGAGCACAGUUCCUGUUUCCUGCCGCCAAUCAUCCAGCAGCAGCAGAAAGGUGAAACAAGGAAACCGCGUGUGGUGGAGAGACAGGAAGAGAGGAGUCCGUCUGAUGAGCCUUCCUCGCUGCCUCUGGGCAGCCAACAGGAGAAGCUGGAGGACAACAAGAGUCUGCUGGAAGAGUUAGCUCGUAUCGAGAAGCAGCUUCGAGAGUCUCAGCGGCUGGAUGAGGAGCGACAGUGGGAAGCUGAAUUCCUCCGUCAACAGCAAAACAAGCUGCUGUGGCAAAACCUCUGUUACCUGAGUCUGAGCCAGCGGAUCACCAAACCCUGGGUCAGCAGCUACUUCAAGACGUUUCCCAUGCACAUCUACUGCCUGCCAGUCCAAGGCCCCAGUCGCAAAGGCAGGAGGUGGGGACUGAAGAAGAGGAGAUAACUUACACUUUGUAAAUUUGUUGGAAAAAAAUAUAUGUUUAUUUAUGUUUUUUAUCCUACAAAUAAAUGUAAUUUCCUCAUUCUUG
ensembl:lncRNA